AUUCAUUUAAUAUAAUAGUAUAUUUAACUUCCAAUUAAAAAGUCUGAAUAAUCAGAAUGAAUA
rnacentral:tRNA from 1 species